GGAACUUUGAGGGGCAGAAAAAUCCAUGGCACAUAUCAGAUUAUAAAAUAAUACACUAGGUGUAUCAAGUUGUAUUCUUUAGAGUUGAAUUUUUUUUCACCCUAGUGUCUCUUCCUAAAUGGUACAUCUAAUAUGUCUAGAAGUCUCAGUGACUCUACCUUCAAAAUAUAUACAAAAUUCAGGAAGUUCCUCAGACAAAAAAGAAUUAUGAGACCAACCAUAAACCUGUAUCCACGUCAAGAAGUGAAGAGUAUGGGAAAUGGACUAAGGCAAGAUUUUGAAAAUUUAAUUCUGAAUCACUUCAUUGGCUCCAUGAAGAAGUUGAACAAAGCUGUAUUCAGCUUUUCAUUAUCUUUCAAUUAAUUAUGAUCCUCCAAACACGGGGGAGCUGUUAUAGCAAGUGCUGAUCAGAAUAUAGAAGAUUAUGCUGCUUUUCAGAAGUAUAAAGUGCUCUGCAGAAAACAGAACAGGUGAAAUCUUAUUAUUAUUAUUUUUUUAAUGGAACUGCUAUGUUUGACUGACUUAAGGAUAAAGAACAGAACUCAGGAAAUAAUGAAGAAGACACCCACAUAGGGGGACAAAGUGU